rnacentral:rRNA from 1 species
AUUGAACGCUGGCGGCAGGCCUAACACAUGCAAGUCGAGCGGAGCGGCGGACGGGUGAGUCAUGCCUAGGAAUCUGACUGGUAGUGGGGGAUAACGUCCGGAAACGGGCGCUAAUAUCGCCUACUAUCAGAUGAGCCUAGUACGGAUGAGCUAGUUGGUGGGGUAAAGGCCUACCAAGGCGACGAUCCGUAACUGGUCUGAGAGGAUGAUCAGUCACACUUGAACUGAGACACGGUCCAGACUCCUACGGGAGGCAGCAGUGGGGAAUAUUGGACAAUGGGCGAAAGCCUGAUGCAGCCAUGCCGCGUGUAUGAAGAAGGCCUUCGGGUUGUAAAGCACUUUCAGCGGGGAGGCGUUACCCGCAGAAGAAGCACCGGCUAACUCCGUGCCAGCAGCCGCGGUAAUUC